UGAGCUUGAUCCUGGCUCAGGACGAACGCUGGCGGCGUGCCUAAUACAUGCAAGUCGAGCGGACAAUAGGGAGCUUGCUCCCUAUUGUUAGCGGCGGACGGGUGAGUAACACGUGGGCAACCUGCCCUGUAGACUGGGAUAACAUCGAGAAAUCGGUGCUAAUACCGGAUAAUAAAUGGAAUUGCAUAAUUCCAUUAUAAAAGAUGGCUCCGGCUAUCACUACAGGAUGGGCCCGCGGCGCAUUAGCUAGUUGGUAAGGUAACGGCUUACCAAGGCAACGAUGCGUAGCCGACCUGAGAGGGUGAUCGGCCACACUGGGACUGAGACACGGCCCAGACUCCUACGGGAGGCAGCAGUAGGGAAUCUUCCGCAAUGGACGAAAGUCUGACGGAGCAACGCCGCGUGAGCGAUGAAGGCCUUCGGGUUGUAAAGCUCUGUUGUUAGGGAAGAACAAGUGCCAUUCAAAUAGGGUGGCACCUUGACGGUACCUA
rnacentral:rRNA from 1 species